GGUGGACGCUGGCGGCGCGCUUAACACAUGCAAGUCGUGCGAUCGGACCCGGUGAAGUUCCUUCGGGGAUGGAACUGGGUUACGGAGCGGCGAACGGGUGAGUAACACGUAGCUAACCUGCCCCCGCGACGGGGAUAACCCGGGGAAACCCGGGCUAAUACCCGAUGGUCUUUCAGGGCCAAAAGGUUCUGGAAGUAAAGGCGCCUUGUGCGCCGCGCGGGGAGGGGGCUGCGGCCCAUCAGCUAGACGGUGGGGUAAUGGCCUACCGUGGCGAUGACGGGUAGGGGGCCUGAGAGGGUGGCCCCCCACAUGGGGACUGAGACACGGCCCUGACUCCUACGGGAGGCAGCAGUGGGGAAUCUUGGGCAAUGCCGGAAACGGUGACCCAGCGACGCCGCGUGGGGGAAGAAGCCCUUCGGGGUGUAAACCCCUUUUCUGGGGGAAGAAUAAGGCGGGGAGGUAAUGUCCCGCCGAUGACGGUACCCCAGGAAUAAGCCCCGGCUAACUACGUGCCAGCAGCCGCGGUAAGACGUAGGGGGCGAGCGUUACCCGGAUUUACUGGGCGUAAAGUGCGCGUAGGCGGUUCGGUAAGUCGCCUGUGAAAGCCCCUGGCUCAACUGGGGGAGGCCGGGCGAUACUGCCGGGCUAGAGGACGGCAGAGGAAGGUGGAACGGCCAGAGUAGCGGUGAAAUGCGUAGAUACUGGCCGGUACCCCGAUGGCGAAGGCAACCUUCUGGGCCGUUCCUGACGCUGAGGCGCGAAAGCGUGGGGAGCGAACCGGAUUAGAUACCCGGGUAGUCCACGCCCUAAACGAUGCGGGCUAGGUGUCGGCCCUCUAGUGGGUCGGUGCCGCAGCUAACGCGUUAAGCCCGCCGCCUGGGGAGUACGGCCGCAAGGCUGAAACUCAAGGGAAUUGACGG
rnacentral:rRNA from 1 species